GUGUGCGUGGGUGUGCCGCAUAUUUGAGUCUUGCGUGUGUUGCUUUUCCCAACCUUACUUUGUGCCUUCAUUGUGAUCCUUGCUGUAAGGGAGAGAGACUCCAAGUUGUGGAGAUUCCUCGCAAAUGGAAAAUACUCUAAGGAAAAUACCAUGGUAUUCAAGUUGAUCAUCGGAUCACUUGAAAGGGGUUGAGUUCAACCCUCAUCCAUUGGGACGCCACAACAUGGAAGUAGGCAAGUGUUACUUAGCCGAAUCACGGGAUAAAAAUCGCGUGUCUUGUGUUGAUCUCUCUGUGAUUGUUUGUGUUCACAAUAACUCGCUUCAAGCUACUUAGUCGUACUAACACUCAUAACUAAGUUUUGUAGCUAUUAGUGUUUGAUUUUUACAGGAUCAUCUAUUCACCCCCGCCCCUCUAGGUGCUCUCAAUUGGUAUCAGAGUCGAACUCUUCAUCUAAGGGACUAACCGCCCGAAGAGAUGGAUCCUAAGAGAAAGGGGAUGGUUGUCAACGACAAGGAGAAGUAGUCCAUCUUCAACGAGCCAAGAGAUGACAAGCCCACUAACUCAGGCUCAAGUCACAAGAAGAAGGACGGGAAGAAGAAGAGGUUCAUCAAGAAGAUCAUCUACUACGACAGCGACACAUCUUCUUCUUCACCAAGAGACGACGACGACUCUUCGUCAAAAAAGAGAACGGUUAAUCAAAACUACUCUUUUGACUAUUCUCGCAUGCCAUAUAAUUCGAAUGCACAUUUACUUUCUAUUCCUCUAGAAAAACCACAACACUUUGAUGGAGAGGACUACUCAGUCAUAAAAUGCGUAGUCAUCUAUUUUCUCUCCAUCCUAGCAUUUGGGAAAUAGUGGAAAAUGGAAUGCAUUUCGAUAGUACGGAUAACCUUGUGAUUAUUAAUGAGCAAAUCCAUAAGAAUAUCCAAGCUACUACUGUGUUGUUAGCAUCUCUUUGCAGGGACGAGUAUAAUAAAGUAAGUGGCUUGGACAAUGCCAAGAAAAUCUGGGACACCCUCAAGAUCUCACAUGAGGGAAAUGAUGCUACAAUGAUCACAAAAAUGGAACUGGUGGAAGGCGAGCUAGGGAGAUUCGCCAUGAUCAGGGGAGAAGAGCAAACACAAACCUACAACAGGCUCAAGACCCUGGUCAACAAGAUUAGAAGCUAUGGAAGCACAAGAUGGACGGAUCACGACGUCGUCCAACUCAUGCUCAGGUCCUUUACAGUUAUUAACCCCCAUCUUGUGAAUCUUAUCCGUGAAAAUCCCAGGUACACAAAGAUGAUGCCCGAGGAGAUACUCGGAAAAUUUGUAAGCAGACGCAUGAUGGUUAAGGAGGCAAGGUAUGUAGAUGACGCCUUAAACGGCUCUCUGCCCAUCUACGAGCCGCAACCCGUUGCGCUCAAGGCAACUAGCAGCAAGGAGGCACUACCAAGCAAGGUAGCUCAAGUGGAGGUUGUCGGCCUCAACGAAGAUGAGAUGGCGCAUGGAGGAGUAACCCAAGCAUUCACUAAGUAUUCUAAGGCAUACAGACUCUGCUCCCGCGCAUUCACUUUGUUGUGUUAGAGAAUUGAGCUCCAUUCGAGUCGCGAACUCCCUAUGUUGUCAUUUGAGCUCGAGUCUUCACUUGUGUGCGUGGGUGUGCCGCAUAUUUGAGUCUUGCGUGUGUUGCUUUUCCCAACCUUACUCUGUGCCUUCAUUAUGAUCAUUGCUGUAAGGGCGAGAGACUCCAAGUUGUGGAGAUUCCUCGCAAACGGGAAAAUACUCUAAGGAAAAUACAGUGGUAUUCAAGUUGAUCAUCGGAUCACUUGAAAGGGGUUGAGUGCAACCCUCGUCCAUUGGGACGCCACAACGUGGAAGUAGGCAAGUGUUACUUAGCCAAACCACAGGAUAAAAAUCACGUGUCUUGUGUUGAUCUCUCUGUGAUUGUUUGUGUUCACAAGAACUCGCUUCAAGCUACUUAGCCGUACUAACACUCAUAACUAAGUUUUGUAGCUAUUAGUGUUUGAUUUUUAUAGGAUCACCUAUUCACCCCCCCCUCUAGGUGCUCUCAAUUGGUAUCAGAGUUGAACUCUUCAUCUAAGGGACUAACCGCCCGAAGAGAUGGAUCCUAAGGGAAAGGGGAUGGUGGUCAACGACAAGGAGAAGGAGUCCAUCUUCAACGAGCCAAGAGAUGACAAGCCCACUAACUCAGGCUCAAGUCACAAGAAGAAGGACGGGAAGAAGAAGAGGCUCAUCAAGAAGAUCAUCUACUACGACAGCGAUGCAUCUUCUUCUUCACCAAGAGACGACGACGACGACUCUUCAUCGAAAAAGAGAACGGUUAAUCAAAACAACUCUUUUGACUAUUCUCGCAUGCCAUACAAUUCGAAUGCACAUUUACUUUCUAUUCCUCUACGAAAACCGCCACACUUUGAUGGAGAGGACUACUCAUUUUGGAGUCAUAAAAUGCGUAGUCAUCUAUUUUCUCUCCAUCCUAGCAUUUGGGAAAUAGUGGAAAAUGGAAUGCAUUUCGAUAGUACGGAUAACCCUGUGAUUAUUAAUGAGCAAAUCCAUAAGAAUGCCCAAGCUACUACUGUGUUGUUAGCAUCUCUUUGUAGGGACGAGGAAAGUAAGUGGCUUGGACAACGCCAAGCAAAUCUGGGACACCCUCAAGAUCUCACAUGAGGGAAAUGAUGCUACAAUGAUCACGAAAAUGGAACUGGUGGAAGGUGAGCUAGGGAGAUUCACCAUGAUCAGGGGAGAAGAGCCAACACAAACCUACAACAGGCUCAAGACCCUGGUCAACAAGAUUAGAAGCUAUGGAAGCACAAGAUGGAUGGAUCACGACGUCGUCCGACUCAUGCUCAGGUCCUUUACAGUUAUUGACCCCCAUCUUGUGAAUCUUAUCCGUGAAAAUCCCAGGUACACAAAGAUGACGCCCAAGGAGAUACUCGGAAAAUUUGUAAGCGGGCGCAUGAUGGUUAAGGAGGCAAGGUAUGUAGAUGAUGCCUUAAACGGCCCUCUGCUCGUCUACGAGCCGCAGCCCGUUGCGCUCAAGGCAACUAGCAGCAAGGAGGCACUACGAAGCAAGGUAGCUCAAGUGG
rnacentral:lncRNA from 1 species